rnacentral:rRNA from 1 species
CCUACGGGAGGCAGCAGUGGGGAAUAUUGGGCAAUGGAGGAAACUCUGACCCAGCGACGCCGCGUGCGGGAUGAAGGCCUUCGGGUUGUAAACCGCUUUCAGUAGGGAAGAAGCGAAAGUGACGGUACCUACAGAAGAAGCACCGGCUAACUAUGUGCCAGCAGCCGCGGUAAUACAUAGGGUGCAAGCGUUGUCCGGAAUUAUUGGGCGUAAAGAGCUCGUAGGUGGUUCGUCACGUCGGAUGUGAAAAUCUGGGGCUCAACCCCAGACCUGCAUUCGAUACGGGCGAUCUAGAGUGUGGUAGGGGAGACUGGAAUUCCUGGUGUAGCGGUGGAAUGCGCAGAUAUCAGGAGGAACACCAAUGGCGAAGGCAGGUCUCUGGGCCAUUACUGACACUGAGGAGCGAAAGCGUGGGGAGCGAACAGGAUUAGAUACCCUGGUAGUCCACGCCGUAAACGGUGGGCACUAGUUGUGGGAACCUUCCACGGUUUCUGCGACGCNGCUACGCAUAAGUGCCCGCCCGUCGGGAGGUACGAGUCGCGAGAGUUAAACGUACUAAAUAGAAGUUGACGGUCGUUGAGACGUUGCCGACGGCGACGACGAGGGAGGAGG